rnacentral:rRNA from 1 species
UGGUGGAGUGAUUUGUCUGGUUAAUUCCGAUAACGAACGAGACCUUAACCUGCUAAAUAGUCACGCUAAUUGUUUUCAAUUGGUGGCCGACUUCUUAGAGGGACUAUUGACGUUUAGUCAAUGGAAGUUUGAGGCAAUAACA